rnacentral:rRNA from 1 species
CGGUGUUUAACUGGCGUGAUGUGGGACGUCCUACCGGUGGGCUUAGCCUCGCGAGGGGCGGCCCAACUAAUAUCCCGUCGCGGUGCUCUUUACUGAGUGUCGAGUCGGGCCGGUACGUUUACUUUGAACAAAUUAGAGUGCUUAAAGCAGGCUAUCCUCGCCUGAAUACUGCGUGCAUGGAAUAAUGGAAUAGGACCUCGGUUCUAUUUUGUUGGUUUUCGGAACCCCCGAGGUAAUGAUUAAUAGGGACAGAUGGGGGCAUUCGUAUUGCGACGUUAGAGGUGAAAUUCUUGGAUCGUCGCAAGACGGACAGAAGCGAAAGCAUUUGCCAAAAAUGUUUUCAUUAAUCAAGAACGAAAGUUAGAGGUUCGAAGGCGAUCAGAUACCGCCCUAGUUCUAACCAUAAACGAUGCCAGCUAGCGAUCCGCCGAAGUUCCUCCGAUGACUCGGCGGGCAGCUUCCGGGAAACCAAAGCUUUUGGGUUCCGGGGGAAGUAUGGUUGCAAAGCUGAAACUUAAAGGAAUUGACGGAAGGGCACCACCAGGAGUGGAGCCUGCGGCUUAAUUUGACUCAACACGGGAAACCUCACCAGGCCCAGACACCGGAAGGAUUGACAGAUUGAUAGCUCUUUCUUGAUUCGGUGGGUGGUGGUGCAUGGCCGUUCUUAGUUGGUGGAGCGAUUUGUCUGGUUAAUUCCGAUAACGAACGAGACUCUAGCCUGCUAAAUAGGCGUACCUUAUGGUAUCGCGAAGGCCCCCGGCUUCGGCCGGUGGGUUUUUACUACCAACGUACAAACAAAUCUUUUUAGAGGGACAGGCGG